CAGCAAACCCACCCACCGGUUCAUUAGAUAUAUCCAAUGAACCCAUCUUCUUCUUUUUUCCUCUCAAGAUUCAUUCCCUCAAAAUCCUCUCUUUCACUCCUAAACUCCAAAUCCAGAAAUAGAUUCAUCUCAAAAUCCUCUCUUUCCCUAAGAUCUUUCUACUUCUAAUGUAUUUCAUAUCCUUAUAGAUUCAUCUCAAGGAUAGUUUCUAACCUUUCCCAAAUCCCCAAAUUCCAAAAUCAAUUUUAUGCUAGAAUCGGAGAAGCCGUCUAAACGAAUAUAUUAUUAAUGUGGAUCGUCUUCUACUGGAGUUUUGAGUGAUAUUGCUAUUGUUGAUAGUCGUUCGUCUUUGGAUUGGAGAGAGAAAUGUGUUGUUACUACAGUCAAAAAUCAAGGUUGUGCAGAGGAAGGCAAUAUGGGCUCCUGAGGUGCAUGAGACUCAUGGUUGAGUUGGUUCUCAUAACCAAUGUCCUGCACAUUUGGAGUAGGCAGUUAAUUCAGAUGGUCCUCAUGGCCAAUGUCAAUAUCCUGUACAUAUGGAGUACUAGGUUGAUCUAUCACUUUCACAUCCUCAAGAGGAGAAGAUGCGUCAUCUGGUUCUGUUAUAGAAGGAGUUUCUACACCAGGAAAUGCAUCAUUAUAAGAGUCAUCUGGUUCCAAAAACAGAUGGUAUUGUGAUUGCCUCCUAUUUUUGAAAGGAAAGACUGUUUCCCUGAAGAUAACAUCCCUAUUCACAAAGAACUUCUGAUUAUUCAAAUCAAGUAACACAUAGCCUUUUAUCACUUCUGAACACCCCAUUAGAACAACUGCUAUAGCUUUUGUAUCAAACUUAUCAUGGCUGUUCAGUUUCUUGGCAUAGCAAAGACAUUCAAAUGUCCUUAAAUGAUACAAGUUGGCUUUGUGUUUAUGGAAUAUUUCAUAUGGACUUUUACCCCUCAGAA